GAAGCCUACGGGGCGCAGCAGUGAGGAAUAUCGGUCAAUGGGCGCGAGCCUGAACCAGCCAAGUCGCGUGAGGGAUGACGGCCCUACGGGUUGUAAACCUCUUUUGCCGGGGAGCAACGGGCGCCACGUGUGGCGCCACUGAGAGUACCCGGAGAAAAAGCAUCGGCUAACUCCGUGCCAGCAGCCGCGGUAAUACGGAGGAUGCGGGCGUUAUCCGGAUUUAUUGGGUUUAAAGGGUGCGUAGGCGGAUCGUUAAGUCAGUGGUCAAAUUGAGGGGCCCACCCCCUUCCCGCCAUUGAAACUGG
rnacentral:rRNA from 1 species